ensembl:lncRNA
GAAAAACCUGAGUGGAUUUAUUUGCUAUAGAUCUUUGUAAGACAAGUUUCCCUUCCCUGCAUUCAUCAUCUGCUCUCAGAUUACCUGCAGAAGCUGUUUUGCUAUCCAAAAGCAGGGGAAGGAGUGGAAAGGUGGGGAAAUUUUUCUCAGUGAAGUUAGAUGGAGCAGGCCAUACAGAUGGACAAAAAAGCUCAUGCAAGUGACAAAUUAAUGGACCGAAUUGUUCCUGGAGUACCUCUUGAUUACCAGGCCUAGUGAAAUAGUUGAUAUGUCAGAUGCCAAUGGUACUAGAAAACCUACUACAGCAGUAUGAAAAGAAGACAACAUCUCUGACUUUGGACAUCUGGUUUCAAGUCUCAGUUUAGCUGCUUCAUUAAGCAAAUUGCAACGUGUCUUUGCACAUAGCCUACCUGUGAAGUGCAGAUAAUGUUUGUAGUGAUAGCAAUUACAGUAGAGAUUGAGUGGCCCCAACAAUGCAAUGUUUGCUAAAGGUUGAUAAAACAAGGUUCAUUGCACCUGGGACAGGGACCAUCUGUGACUAAGAGUAGAGUGUAGAAAGAAAAAUUUCUAAAAUCCUGCAGGAGAAUCAAUGGAGUUUGCACGACACAGAAGAAGGCCACUUAUCUCAAAGGAUGGGAGUGUGCCAGUAGAGUAUGUAGGAAGACAAGAAGAAGAGCAUGGCUUGGAGUGAGAAGUUGGGUAUUUGUCUUAUAAAAUGUUGGCUGUCACAACCCUUAGUGCCUGUCUACAUACUAGCUGCAAAAAGGACAGUUUCAAGCUGCAACAGAUGAGCAAUUACAGAAUUACUGAAGGUAAGAAUGACUGAAGGUAAGAAAGUCAAAACAGAUUCUUCUUAACAAUGCCAUUUCCUUCCUGUAUUAGAGACUGAUCUGAGGCAGAAAUAGCCAGAUCUCCACAAAACCAUAAUUAUGUGGAUAAAACGUAAUGGCCAGGCAGAGCUCAAUAGGUACCUG